GGUCGUUCGACUUGUCUGGCAACCCGAAGCAACCGCUGUUCGACCCGCCCGCCGCCGAGCCUACGCUCAGUUCGGCGUCCCGGCCCAGUUCUUCCGGGUUCCAUGGAGAUGCCACCACGGAGUGGAGCGAGCAAGGAAACCAGAACCAUGGUUCCGAGAAAUCAACAAGGGAGCGAGCUGAGGAAAGAUCGAUGGGGGAACCAACUUAGCAAACAGCCAGAGAAAGCUCAUGCAAAGAAAGAAGAUCCAACAACAGCGUCAAGAAACCAGCUUGAAAGUGCAUGACAAGAAUCAACGAGUAGCUAACAUGGCAUCCAUAUCAGACCAUGGAAACCAUCGAGCACAACAACCCAAAGAGGGAGGAGAUGACCGAGGUUAGUAGGGUACGUACGUGCACAGGGAGGCAACAGCAGCCCGGGGAGACUGAUCAUGCAACGCCUGACAUGGAUUCCAAAGACAACAACGACUAUGAAGGGGGGGAAGUCCUGUUGCUGCUCCUGUUCACCUUAUCAUGCACCUCCGCGGGGGAGCAGGCAAGCAUGUGAGUUGGUGGCGUAUAGGUGAUGGGCUUGAGGUAACAAUUAUUGGAAGGGGAAGGGGUAAACAGUCACCCUCGGUGUUGAAUGAGCCCAUGUUCUCUCCUUGCAUGAGUUGGCAAAACACUUGAGGCCUACGCGUCAUUGGAUAUGUGCCGAACUACGUUCUUAUCCUUUGUCCAACACUGGUUCUCUAUGAUUAAAGCUCGAGCAAUGUGCCUUGCGAGGGAAGUGUGCCGAAGGACAUCUGCAGCUCCCCCACCUACCCCCACGAUAGAUAGAGGAAGCGUGAGGAAGAUGGAAGCGGAUCAGUGGAGUACUAACUCCCUAUCGUCUGCUUGCAUCAAACAUGCUCGUUUCUCCGUCGAGGCAUUUUUGUGGUGGUGUAUUUAGAUAUUCGAGUGACUUAUACGUGGUUUAAUGGAAUGGAAAUUUGGAAUCGAGCAUUUUUGUA